UACGGGGGGAGCAAGCGUUGUUCGGAUUUACUGGGCGUAAAGGGCGCGUAGGCGGCCAGCACAAGUCAGUUGUGAAAUCUCCGGGCUUAACUCGGAAAGGUCAACUGAUACUGUGCGGCUAGAGUGCAGAAGGGGCAACUGGAAUUCUCGGUGUAGCGGUGAAAUGCGUAGAUAUCGAAGAAGACACCUGCGGCGAAGGCGGCAUCCUGGACCGGCAUUGACGCUGAUGAGCGAAAGCCAGGGGAGCAAAACGGGG
rnacentral:rRNA from 1 species